GAGUUUGAUCCUGGCUCAGGAUGAACGCUGGCGGCGUGCCUAACACAUGCAAGUCGAGCGAAGCAUACAGGAGGAAGUUUUCGGAUGGAAUCCUGCAUGGCUGAGCGGCGGACGGGUGAGUAACGCGUGGGUAACCUGCCUUAUACAGGGGGAUAACAGUUAGAAAUGACUUGCUAAUACCGCAUAAAGCGCACAGUACCGCAUGGUAGUGUGUGAAAAACUCCGGUGGUAUAAGAUGGACCCGCGUCUGACUUAGCCAGUUUGGCGAGGUAACGGCUCACCAAGGCGACGAUCAGUAGCUGGUCUGAGAGGAUGAUCCGCCACGACUGGGACUGAGACACGGCCCAGACUCCGUACGGGA
rnacentral:rRNA from 1 species